rnacentral:rRNA from 1 species
AAGUCGUAACAAGGUAACCGUAGGUGAACCUGCGGUUGGAUCAUUACUGAUUACUACGGUAAAGAGUUGAUUCGCAAGAGUCCUCUUUUCCGUAAUCUUACACCCUGUGCACCAUAUUGUAUUUUGGGUUAGUCUCUGUUGGUGGUAGGCUUUGGUUUACCUCCUCAAUGGGCUGGCCCAAUCUUGAAAAAGACCAUUAGAAUUCGUCUUAAAUUUUAUUUAUAAUAAUAAACAACUUUUGACAACGGAUCUCUUGGCUCUCGCAACGAUGAAGAACGCAGCGAAAUGCGAUACGUAAUGUGAAUUGCUUUCCGUGAAUCAUCAAAUCUUUGAACGCACAUUGCGCUCCUUUGGAGCAUGCUUGUUUGAGAAUCGAAAAGGCCUUACUAGCGUAAGAGUAAUCUUACGGUAGUAGAUGUGAUUUUCCUAGUCAUUGACUAGGUCAAUUCAAAUCGAUUGUCCUUAUCCAAAGUAGGCUAUGGCACAAAAAGUGUGUGUAUCUCCUCUCUUGAGAAGACACUACGCYUACUACUGCUUCUACUUUAACACGAUAGGGAUUCGUAACCACAAGACCGGGCUUACCCCCAGUCUGUAAACAUGGUCUCAAAUCAAGUAGGAAGACCCGCUGAACUUAAGCAUAUCAAUAAGCGGAGGAAAAGAAACUAACAAGGAUUCCCCUAGUAACGGCGAGUGAAGCGGGAACAGCUCAAAUUUGAAAUCUCCUUCGGGCGAAUWGUAGUUCAGAGAAGCGUUUUCGGAGUGACGGUAGGUACAAGUCCCUUGGAACAGGGCAUCAAAGAGGGUGAAAAUCCCGUAUUUGACCUACUCGACCUCUAUGUGAUACGUUUUCCAAGAGUCGGUUUGUUUGGGAAUGCAGCCCAAAAUGGGAGGUAAAUACCUUCUAAAGCUAAAUAUUGGCGAGAGACCGAUAGCGAACAAGUACCGUGAGGGAAAGAUGAAAAGAACUUUGAAAAGAGAGUUAAACAGUACGUGAAGUUGUCAAAAGGGAAACGUUUGAAACCAGUAUUGCCUGCUAGAAUUCAGCGUCUAUUUAUAGCCGUGUACUUUCUAGUUGGCGAGUCAACAUCAGUUUGGCUCGGAGCAAAAAGCCUUGGAAAGGUAGCCCUCUUUUGGGUGUUAUAGUCCAAGGUCAUACUCUGGGCUGGACUGAGGACUGCAGCGUUUUUGGCUUCGGCACACCAGCGCUUAGGAUGUUGACGAAAUGGUUUUAAGCGACC